UACGUAGGGGGCUAGCGUUGUCCGGAAUCAUUGGGCGUAAAGAGCGUGUAGGCGGCCUGACAGGUCUGCUGUGAAAACUCGAGGCUCAACCUCGAGAUGUCGGCGGAAACCGUCUGGCUAGAGUCCGGAAGAGGAGAGUGGAAUUCCUGGUGUAGCGGUGAAAUGCGCAGAUAUCAGGAAGAACACCUAUGGCGAAGGCAGCACUCUGGGACGUGACUGACGCUGAGACGCGAAAGCGUGGGGAGCAAACAGG
rnacentral:rRNA from 1 species